ACCCGUGUAGCGCAGCGGUAAGCGCACUGUCUUUCUCAGACAGAGGUGAUGGGUUCGACUCCCAUCAUGGGUGCCA
rnacentral:tRNA from 1 species